UUUCCGUAGGUGAACCUGCGGAAGGAUCAUUAUUGAAUAAACCUGAUGUGGUUGUAGCUGGCCCUUUCGGGAGCAUGUGCACACCCGUCGUCUUUAUCUUUCCACCUGUGCACCUUUUGUAGACCUGGAUGUAACACUCUCCGAGGCAACUCGGUCGGGAGGAAUGCUGUCAGCUUUCCUUGAAUGUCCAGGCCUAUGUUUUCAUAUACCCCAAAGAAUGUAACAGAAUGUAUUAUUGGGCCUUGUGCCUAUAAACUAUAUACAACUUUCAGCAACGGAUCUCUUGGCUCUC
rnacentral:misc_RNA from 1 species